AUUGAACGCUGGCGGCAGGCCUAACACAUGCAAGUCGAACGGUAGCACAGAGAGCUUGCUCUCGGGUGACGAGUGGCGGACGGGUGAGUAAUGUCUGGGAAACUGCCCGAUGGAGGGGGAUAACUACUGGAAAUGGUAGCUAAUACCGCAUAACGUCGCAAGACCAAAGUGGGGGACCUUCGGGCCUCACACCAUCGGAUGUGCCCAGAUGGGAUUAGCUAGUAGGUGGGGUAAUGGCUCACCUAGGCGACGAUCCCUAGCUGGUCUGAGAGGAUGACCAGCCACACUGGAACUGAGACACGGUCCAGACUCCUACGGGAGGCAGCAGUGGGGAAUAUUGCACAAUGGGCGCAAGCCUGAUGCGGCCAUGCCGCGUGUAUGAAGAAGGCCUUCGGGUUGUAAAGUACUUUCAGCGGGGAGGAAGGCGGUGAAGUUAAUAGCUUCACCGAUUGACGUUACCCGCAGAAGAAGCACCGGCUAACUCCGUGCCAGCCGCCGCCGUAA
rnacentral:rRNA from 1 species